rnacentral:rRNA from 1 species
UACGUAGGGCGCAAGCGUUGUCCGGAAUUAUUGGGCGUAAAGAGCUCGUAGGUGGUUUGUUACGUCUGCUGUGAAAACCUAGGGCUUAACCCUGGGCCUGCAGUGGAUACGGGCAGACUAGAGGUAGGUAGGGGAGAAUGGAAUUCCCGGUGUAGCGGUGAAAUGCGCAGAUAUCGGGAGGAACACCGGUGGCGAAGGCGGUUCUCUGGGCUCAACCUGACGCUGAGGCGCGAAAGCGUGGGGAGCGAACCGG